rnacentral:rRNA from 1 species
AGGAUAAACGCUGGCGGCGUGCCUAACACAUGCAAGUCGAACGCGCUUUCGGGCUUCGGUGCGAGAGCGAGUGGCGGACGGGUGAGUAACACAUGGGUACCUGCCUUUCAGUGAGGGAUACCGGCGAGAAAUCGCCGACAAUACCGCAUGGGCUUGUGGGAACACAAGCAAAGUGGCGCAAGCCACGCUGGAAGAUGGGCCUGUGGCCGAUUAGCUAGUUGGGGGGGUAACGGCCUCCCAAGGCGACGAUCGGUAGCUGGUCUGAGAGGACGAUCAGCCACACUGGGAUUGAGAACGGCCCAGACUCCUACGGGGGGCAGCAGUGAGGAAUUUUCCGCAAUGGGCGAAAGCCUGACGGAGCGACGCCGCGUGUGGGAAGAAGGCCUUCGGGUCGUAAACCACUGUCGAAGGGGAAGAUAUUGACGGUACCUUGGAGGAAGCCCGGCUAACUACGCGCCAGCAGCCGC